UACGUAGGUGGCAAGCGUUUGUCCGGAAUUAUUGGGCGUAAAGCGCGCGCAGGCGGUCUUUUAAGUCUGAUGUGAAAGCCCACGGCUCAACCGUGGAGGGUCAUUGGAAACUGGGAGACUUGAGUGCAGAAGAGAAGAGUGGAAUUCCACGUGUAGCGGUGAAAUGCGUAGAGAUGUGGAGGAACACCAGUGGCGAAGGCGACUCUUUGGUCUGUAACUGACGCUGAGGCGCGAAAGCGUGGGGAGCAAACAGGGAUU
rnacentral:rRNA from 1 species